UAAAGUUUAUAAAAAUAUUCAUCGUCCUA
rnacentral:sRNA from 1 species